UGAACCUGCGGAAGGAUC
rnacentral:ncRNA from 2 species